CUACCAUUAGCUCAGUUGGUUAGAGCGUGGUGCCAAUAACACCAAGGUCACAGGUUUGAUCCCUGCAUGGGUGCA